rnacentral:rRNA from 1 species
GAUGAACGCUGGCGGCGUGCCUAAUACAUGCAAGUCGAGCGAACAGACGAGGAGCUUGCUCCUUUGACGUUAGCGGCGGACGGGUGAGUAACACGUGGAUAACCUACCUAUAAGACUGGGAUAACUUCGGGAAACCGGAGCUAAUACCGGAUAACAUGUUGAACCGCAUGGUUCAACAGUGAAAGACGGUCUUGCUGUCACUUAUAGAUAGAUCCGCGCCGCAUUAGCUAGUUGGUAAGGUAACGGCUUACCAAGGCAACGAUGCGUAGCCGACCUGAGAGGGUGAUCGGCCACACUGGAACUGAGACACGGUCCAGACUCCUACGGGAGGCAGCAGUAGGGAAUCUUCCGCAAUGGGCGAAAGCCUGACGGAGCAACGCCGCGUGAGUGAAGAAGGUCUUCGGAUCGUAAAACUCUGUUAUUAGGGAAGAACAAAUGUGUAAGUAACUAUGCACGUCUUGACGGUACCUAAUCAGAAAGCCACGGCUAACUACGUG